UACUGCUCCUGGAGGCGGCUUUUGACUGGGUGCUCUAAUGCAGUGAAGCUCAGGCAGCAGGCAGGAGCGGCUGAGAACUCUGCAAGAGCCGCAGCCCCAGCAGCAGCAGCAGCAGCAGCAACAGCCACCGGGAGACCCAGCCCAGAGCCAUGCAUAGCAGGGCUUGGCAGAGGCAAAGGUUGGCUGCAAAGUUUGGGACCACACCUUCGAUGAUGAAGGCAAUUGGGAAGCAUAAUCCACCCAGGGACUCCUCAGGGAAAUACAGUGAUGCCUCAGCACAUUUCCUCAAGGCCAGAGACUACUUGAAGCCAAGAAGCUACACUCUACCUAACUACUUAGGAGUCCUCAGCUUUAAUCACCACGGCUAA
rnacentral:lncRNA from 1 species